rnacentral:tRNA from 1 species
GGGGGCAUAGCUCAGCUGGGAGAGCGGUGCGUUCGCAACGCACAGGUCAUGGGUUCGAGUCCCACUGUCUCCA